CCUGGGACAAGAGGCUAGUGCCAAAAUGGCAAAGUGAUUGUCCCUUCCUGAUUUUAGGCGCGCAGAGCUCCGAUCUGAGCUUAGGUAGUCUAAGAUGAAAAGGCAGGGAAAUUAAUGAUUUCUAGACCCCUCUUUAAGAGCUCAAAGGAAAGCAAAAUGAAAACUCCUAAGACACUUAGGAUACCCGCCCAUUGGAAGCUGAUUUUGCCGGGAAUAUUAUUUGUGUGGAGUCUGAAAUUAUAGUGGAAAUUUCCACGAUAACGCAAGGAUCUGUCUUCGGGUCAACAGGGAAUUCAUGUACUAUGAAGACCAUGCAUGCAGUUGGGUUGAAGACUCCAAGACUUAGGUACAGAGCAGUUAUUGGUGACAUGGAUAAAUGGUCACAAAAGCACAUCGACACACUGGCGUCAGGAUGGAAAGGAGUCUGGAGAGGGUGCUGAAGACGGGCUGCAUGCUACCCAUUUGGCAUCUCGAUGGCGAAGCAGAGAGCUUUCUUGUUGUCCAUCUCCUCUGUGAUUUGAGCUUGUGAUGAUUCUUCAGCUAGCUCUGCCUUCAUCUAGAAAAUUAAGUGUUGCAUUAUGAAGCCCAAAAGAGUUUUCCUAGCCACCAC